ACUUGAGACCGGCGCACGGGUGCGUAACGCGUAUGCAAUCUACCUUUAUCUGGGGGAUAGCCCGAAGAAAUUCGGAUUAACACCGCAUAAAAUCACAGUACGGCAUCGUACAAUGAUCAAAUAUUUAUAGGAUAGAGAUGAGCAUGCGUGUCAUUAGUUAGUUGGCGGGGUAACGGCCCACCAAGACCACGAUGACUAGGGGAUCUGAGAGGAUGACCCCCCACACUGGUACUGAGACACGGACCAGACUCCUACGGGAGGCAGCAGUAAGGAAUAUUGGUCAAUGGAGGCAACUCUGAACCAGCCAUGCCGCGUGCAGGAAGACGGCCCUCUGGGUUGUAAACUGCUUUUAUUCGGGAAUAAACCUACUUACGUGUAAGUAGCUGAAUGUACCGAAGGAAUAAGGAUCGGCUAACUCCGUGC
rnacentral:rRNA from 1 species